rnacentral:rRNA from 1 species
UACGUAGGGUGCAAGCGUUGUCCGGAAUUAUUGGGCGUAAAGAGCUCGUAGGCGGUCUGUCGCGUCGGCUGUGAAAACCCGGGGCUCAACCCCGGGCCUGCAGUCGAUACGGGCAGACUAGAGUGCGGUAGGGGAGACUGGAAUUCCUGGUGUAGCGGUGAAAUGCGUAGAGAUCGGGAGGAACAUCUGUGGCGAAGGCGGCCAUCUGGACCAGCACUGACACUGAGGCACGAAAGCGUGGGGAGCAAACAGG